rnacentral:rRNA from 1 species
GUCGGAUGUGAAAUCCCCGGGCUCAACCUGGGAACUGCAUUCGAAACUGGCAGGCUUGAGUCUUGUAGAGGGGGGUAGAAUUCCAGGUGUAGCGGUGAAAUGCGUAGAGAUCUGGAGGAAUACCGGUGGCGAAGGCGGCCCCCUGGACAAAGACUGACGCUCAGGUGCGAAAGCGUGGGGAGCAAACAGGAUUAGAUACCCUGGUAGUCCACGCCGUAAACGAUGUCUACUUGGAGGUUGUGCCCUUGAGGCGUGGCUUCCGGAGCUAACGCGUUAAGUAGACCGCCUGGGGAGUACGGCCGCAAGGUUAAAACUCAAAUGAAUUGACGGGGGCCCGCACAAGCGGUGGAGCAUGUGGUUUAAUUCGAUGCAACGCGAAGAACCUUACCUGGUCUUGACAUCCACAGAAUUCUGCAGAGAUGCGGAAGUGCCUUCGGGAACUGUGAGACAGGUGCUGCAUGGCUGUCGUCAGCUCGUGUUGUGAAAUGUUGGGUUAAGUCCCGCAACGAGCGCAACCCUUAUCCUUUGUUGCCAGCGAUUAGG